GUGGACCCUGGGAGCGCGGAGGAUGCUGGGAGUGGUGGUUCCCCGCGCCCACCAGCCUUUUCUUGUUCCUUCGCCCCGGUCUCAAGGCAGAUCCUGAGGCGCCAUGAGAAAGAUUGUUCCUAGCCACCAUGAAGUAAACAGCUCCCCAGCAUGGCAUUCCCUUUUGCCAUGGGCCUAAAAACACCAGAACCAAGCAACUGUGGAUUGAAACCUCUGAAAAGGAGGACAAAAACUGGACACAGGCCUUGAAUAGAGAAAGAAGAAACUUAACCAAUCACCAACUUUACUGACUUCUCACUCAAUCAACUUUGAGAAAAGAGGGAAAGGAAAAGAAUGGGGAUCGGAAAACUAUUUGACCCCCCUCGGUCUUCUGAACAUUGAUGGGUCUGCUUUUGCCACACCAGACUUGAGCAUCUCCUGUCCGAUCAGCACUGGAAGGGGGCUCUUCCAGGCUGGAAUGCUGCUCAUAUUCCAGCAGUCUUUAACAAUGGACUCUCGAACUUUCGUUCUUGUUACCUCUCACUCAGAGGAUUGUAAUAGACCUCCACUUACCACCUCUGCCUCUGGUUUAUUGUCCCCACUCGAAUACCUGGUAAGCAAUGAAGAGUGUAGCACAGGACCCCCUUUGGAAGUCAGAGGUGGACAAUCCGCAACUGAGCCCACAAGAGAACAAGGUCUAGGGAUACAGCCUUUUUAAAUGUUUUAUAAUAAUCUAUUUAUCUUUAUUUUAUGUGCAUUGGUGUUUGGCCUGCAUGUAUGUCUGUGUGACAGUGUCAGAUCUUGGAGUAGCAGACAGUUGUGAGCUGCCGUGUGGGUGCUGGGGAUUAAAUCUGGGUCCCCUGAAAAAGCAGUCAGUGCUCUUAACCACUGAGCCAUCUCUCCAGCCCUGUGAUACAGUCUUUUAAACAGGCAAGCUUAUCCAUGAAUGAAUUAGGGGAAAAGAACACUCCACUUCUUUAUUCAUUUAUUCAAUAAGUAAUUAUAAUUAAUAUUUAUUAGUGUAUAUAGUUACUAUAUUCUGGAGGUGAAAAUAUUCCCCCUAGUAAAUAAUGGGGGUGUUGAAAUAGGAAUUUCAGUGAGGGAUUCACAUAGAUGACAUUCCAGUAAUUAGAAAGGGCAAAGUGGUGUUUUCUAGAUGCAGGAAGGAGAGGAGAGAGGCGGGGGGAGAGGAAAGGAGAUACAUAGGCAAGACAUAUCCUGGCACAUUCUGUUUGCAAGUAUUUCACUCUGUCUGGAGAUCAGGAGUGACAGAGGUUGUAAUGAAGGACACAGAAGAUACAGCAAGAAGCAAAUCAGAACUAAGAAAAUGGGGCUUUGUAUUCUUCUAGGAUGAGAAAUUGAGGGUUUAAUCCUGUAUGUACUUGAGGUACCCUUUGUAGAGUUUUACUUAAGUAACAAUAGAUUUUUUUUUGUUUCAAAAAGCCCAACCUGGCAGUUUUCUAAAGCAGUGAAGGGAAUAAGUGACUACAGGCACAACUGUCUACAGUCUUAGUGAAAAGGCUGGGGGCCUGAAUUGGGAAGAAAAGAAAUGAAAGAAAGAAGAAAGAGUGGAUGUGAUGGGUAUGGAGGAAUUAGAAUUUAAAGGAACUGGUAACUCAGUAGAUGUAGGAAUUUGUGAGACAAUUUGGAAUGAUUUGCUUGUUUGGCUUUGGUGAAAGAUGGAUAGGUUCACUGAACUAAAGGGUGAGGGAGAAGAGAAAGUGUUUCAGGCAUGCAAAGCUUCAGGUGACUAUUGAACACUCGAAUAGUGAGAUCCAGAGGGCAGUUGGAAUAAGAGCUACAUUUCAGGGAAAACUGUGGAUGAUCGUCAUGUGCUCCUAGGUAAUGUCUGAAGCAAUGAUAAACCACCUUCCUCUUUGUAGCCCUGCCAGUAACAUUGCUGCUGAACUCAUCAUCUCUUUUGAACUGUGACAAUAGUCUCCAUAAUGAUCUUCAGGCUCUAUCCUUUCCAUUUGUUCUUCAUAUUUCCAUCAGGGUGAUAUUUCUAAAUAUAAUAUAUAUUAUCAUUCAAAGUGUGUACUCAACAAAGUAAAACCUAUACUUCUAGCUUUGGGUCUUAUGACAGGUAAAGAAUAGGACAGCUUCAUUGAAAACAUCUAUUUUUACAUCCUGUCUUACAAGGCUAUCGAACUUUAGGAUUAUUCCAAGGAAAUAUUGGGAAAGUAGGUCCUACUUUCUGAGCAUGGUGGUGCAUGCUUUCAAUCCUAGCUCUCUGGACCUUGGGGCAAGAGCAUCAAGAGUUUAAGGACAACUCGAGCUACCUAACUGAAAGGCAGACAUGAACAGAUGGUCUCUAAAUUUUUGAUAGGCUGUCUGGUACUUCUACCAUAAAGUCCCAGACACAUUAGCUAUGGCUUUGGCCUCAAACCCCAAUUAGAAAUCAAGGAAAAUACACUGGGGUUUUGAAGUAUCUGGAUGUGAUACAUUUAGGAUAGGCAGUUUUGAGAAUUCUACAUGCUGAUAGAAAGAUUCCCUUGACCCCUUAUUCCUAGAUCUAAUUCCCAACUCUGACCCACAUUCUUACCACUUGAGUGACUCUAACACACAGCUAAAAAUUACUCAAAGGAAUGGUGGCUUUCCCUCCUCCCUACAUCUCUAGGAUGUGAGACAGAGUCCAAGCUGGCAGCUGCUAGUCCAAAUGAAACUUGCUAACACCUUUUGUAAGUCAAUACAGCAAUUCCCUGUGCAAUAUUAGUUUUUAAAAUCUUUAUUCCUUCCUUGCUAUUAAAAUGUGAAUCUAAACCUGCCUUACUGGUGAGGUUGACAUUUUGGCAGUUGCUAAUCAAGUAGAGCUAGAACACUAUUCUUCCUUAGGGAGGGUAAUUGAUUUACAGUUCAUCACUCCUGGCCCAGUUCAAUCAUGUGGACUUGGAGGGUGCUUCUGAUCAUUAGCUCACAUGCCAAUCACCUGAAGAACCCAGCUAAAAUUGAGAUUCUGAUUCAGUUGGUCUGGGAUGAGAUUCUAAAAUGCCCCAAGAUUGGAUGUUGCUGGACAAGGAGCAGCCUUUCUGUAGCAAGGGACUGGGGGGUAGCACAGGGGUUCGAAUGCUUCCUCUGUCACUCUGUUUUGUUUUUUUUUUUUUUUGGUUUUUGUUUUUUUUUUUUUGUUUGUUUGUUUUUUUUAACCCCAGCUCUAACUGUAAGUGGAUGUGUUCUCUGGGGACAUUUCCGUUAUUAACUGUAUCUCAAUGCUGUGGUUUGAAUCUGAGAUGGCCCCCCUAGGAUCAUGUGGUUGAACACUUGGUCCCCAGCCAAUGCUGCUGUUUGGGAAGGUUAUGGAACCCUUAGGAGGUGGAGCUUGCUAUGGGAAGUUACUCCCUGGGGAUGGACUUUGAGGCUGUUCUUCCUCUGCGUCCUGUGAGCAGAUGAAAUGUGAUCAGCCAGCUUUCCACUCCUACCACCCAUGCUUCUUUUUCUUCCACUUUGUGGGCCUUUGCACACUCUUUGUGGCCUAGACACUUUCACACAAGUGGACGAUCCCUUUCUCCACCAAGUGAUGAUGUGAUAGUCCUCAAGAGACUAAUAGGCACAUAGUUUUUGUUUUCAAAUCAGGUAAGUGAGAACCAUUAUUAUUCAUUUUUAAAGUCCCAGCACGUCACCCCUGUGUUCAGGAUUGUGGGAUGAUUUUCUUCUGGAGAUGCAGGCUCCUCCUGGCUUCCAAUGCCCUACAUAUUAAAUCCCUUAUUUACCCUUCCCUUCCUUUCCCUGAUCAACUCCUAGAAAUCCUUUUUAGUUGAAGAACUUAGCUGAUAAAGUGAGUUUGUUGAACUGGAAUUCUUCCCAGACCUUCUCAUCACCACUGUGAGUUAGAUAGCUCUCUCACAUGCUCUUAGAGCAUCCUGUGUACAUCCUAGAAUAAUGAUUAAUAAGUCAUUUCUCUUCUUGAGAAACACCUGUGGCUGGUGAGCUUUCAAUAAAUUCUGACCGUGGAAUAAAUGAGUACAUGAGGAAAUAGAGAAACGCCACUUCCAACCUCUGCUGCUCUGAAUCUUUUGAUGAACGCCCCCCCCCUCAUUUUUUGGUUGUUAUUGUUGUUAACAGUAUCUUAGUGUGAAGCCUAGGCUACCUUCAAAAUUGUUAGCCUCCUGCCUCACCUCCAAAGUCCCAGGAUAAUAGGCAUGUGUCACCAUGCCUGACUGACGGUAAACGUCUUCUUUUAUAGGUCCUGGACAUUGCAUCAGCUAAGUUCCUUACCUAAGUUCUGAUCUCUAGAGCCCAUGUAAAAGCCUGACACAGUAGCACAGGUCUAUAAUCCCAGUGCUCUCCAACCAGGAGAUAGAAAAAGGAGAUGGGAAAAUGGCCAGAAGAUCACAGGUCAGCUAGUCUAGUAUACAAAGCCUUGAACAAGAGACCUUGCCUCAACCAAGGUAGAAAUCAAGAACUAUUAACCAAGAUUGACUUCUGACCUCCACAUAAGUCCCAUGACACAUAGCAUGUACACACAUACACACACACCUGUACUCACAGAAACAUGUACAUAUGUAUACAUACAUACAAGCAUACAAAUACAGAAAGGUAGAGGGGGGAAGCGGGGGGGGGGAAAGAGAAUACAGCGAACGGACGUGCAGAUAUCAAACAUCAGCUAAGAUGGUAACUCAGCACAGCAGUUUCAAACCUAGAAUGAGCUGACUCGCUCACACCCAAACACAGGCCUGGUACUUUCUAUGGAUCAUAAGCAUUUAGUGUCAUUACUCAUCCUCAUGGCCCAAGAAACCUUAUGAUUUCACUUCCAUUCACAUCUCUAGCCAAUUCCCACUGUCCUCAUGUUUCCAGUUGCAGAAGCCUGUUUCACUUCCAGAAAGACCCAGCUGCCCUCCCCAAGGUCUCCUCAAACAGUGAAUGACUAGCAUGUGAGGAGACCUUGGGGAGGGUAACUGAUGGGACAUCCUCAUCCCACCUAUCACCGCCCCCCCCCACACACACACACAAGCAUAGGAAGGGAUCAGCAGAUAUGAUCUGAAUCGCUAAAUGUUACUAAAGUAACUCUUCCUGUGUGGUCUCUGUUUCUUCUCAUGUUACUAUCCCAACUAUUUUCCAAGUCUGGAGAGUUCUGACUGCUAGAUCUAAUCUCCUGCUUCACCAAGUGCUCUGCUAGGAAAGCAGAAAGGCAUCUGAAGCUCCUCAGUGGGUCCAUUUAAAGACAAAUGCGGGUAAAAGGAUCCAGACCGCUCCUUUUUAGGAUCAGGUUUUCCCAUUUAUAACAUUGCACUCGUUGGGAAACUGCAUUGCUCCCAUUUAAGCUCACGUAGAGUCACUUGUAGCCAAUUUCUGGGGGUGGCAGAAGCAAUUAAAACCAAUUACACAAAGACCUAAUUUUGAUAAUCUUGUAUUGUCAACAAAUGACUCACAGUUUGGGCAUCUGCAGCUGGGUAGGAACAGUUCAUGGAGAUACUGUCACCUUGGACCAUGUGUUCUCAUUGGAGGCGAUGGAAAUUGGCUCUCAUGGGUGUGCAAAGGCAUGCAAAAUAAUUGUGCUUUUGUUAUGUUUGAAUCACAGAUGUCACGCACUAUAUUCACAAACAUAUAGUAUAUGAAUAAUGUUAGAGUUUCAUGAAAACCACAUCAUGUGAUUCUUUUUAUAUGAAAUAUCCAUACCAGGCAAAUCUACAGAGGUAGAGGGUGGCCUGGUGGUUGUCCUGCUGGGGAAGAGGGCUACGGGCUGUUGGGAAUUAUUUGCUAAUUGAUAUGCUGUUUACUUGGGGGAGCAGUAGAUUAAGUUCAUACAGCACUCCCUUGCCGCCAGUUUCUGGGGUAAAGUUGGGUAAAGUCUGCACUCUGUAAAUAUGAUAAAAAGCCAUUGAUUUGCACACUGUGGGUGGAGUGAAUGGUUUGUGAUUUCUCUGAAAUAGAUUGUUUAUGAAAAUGCUUCCCUUCUUUUUUUGUUUGGGUUUUUUUUUUUUUUUUGAGACAGGGUUUCUCUGUGUAGCCGACUGUCCUGGAACUCGCUCUAUAGACCAGACUGGCUGGAACUCAGAGAAUCACUUGCCUCUGCCUCCCAAAUAAAGACGUGAGCCACCACUAACCAGCUCUUCUUUUUUUUUUGUUUUUUAAAAAAAUGUUUUUUGAGAUUUUAUUUUAUGUGUAUGAGUGUUUACCUGAAUCUAUGUCUAUGUGCUAUGAGCACACAGUGCCUUCGGAGGGCAAAACAGAGAACUGGAUCCCCUGGGACUAGAGUUAUAGCUGGUGGUGAGCAACCAGGUAAGUGCUGGGAAUGGAACAAGGGUCCCCUGGAAGAACA